GGACUCCUGGGAUUCUGAUCAUAUUCCUCAUCUACAUCAAUAUUGGUUAAUUUAGGGUUCUUAAGAUAUUUUCCAUAGUUUUAUUACUUUUUUUUAUUUGUUUUGUUAAUUAGGAUAUUUAUUAUUAUUGUUAGUGUGAUGGUGCGAAAAAUAGUUGAAAAAGGCAGCAAGAGAGAUUGAGGUUAAUUGCCGAGUUGAAAGGUUGCAUGGGCAUGCCUUAUAAUGUUGAAGUCUUCUGUCCAUGCAAUGUUAUAUGGACUGUAGUGCUUUUGUUUCUUUUCAGAUUAGGACUUGUCUCCUAUAUGUAGGGACAUGAUAUGAUAGGACUAUUGUUAUAAGACUUUUGACAUUAUUCUUGAAAUUUGAAACACUUGAUGUGUCUUGGAUUCAAUACCUAGAUUGGAUUUUUGUUGAAUCUAGACAAGAUUUGGGUUGAAUUUUGGAAUUUCUUUUGGAGUUUGGUUGUGAAUCAACCCUUGCUUUUUUCUAUGAACUUCGUACGUGAAACAAAUCCUAUUUCUA
rnacentral:lncRNA from 1 species